CACUAUCGUUAACUGAAUACAUAGGUUAACGAGGCGAACCGGGGGAACUGAAACAUCUAAGUACCCCGAGGAAAAGAAAUCAACCGAGAUUCCCCCAGUAGCGGCGAGCGAACGGGGAGCAGCCCAGAGUCUGAAUCAGCUUGUGUGUUAGUGGAACGGUCUGGAAAGUCCGACGGUACAGGGUGAUAGUCCCGUACACCAAAAUGCACAGGUUGUGAACUCGAAGAGUAGGGCGGGACACGUGGUAUCCUGUCUGAAUAUGGGGGGACCAUCCUCCAAGGCUAAAUACUCCUGACUGACCGAUAGUGAACCAGUACCGUGAGGGAAAGGCGAAAAGAACCCCGGCGAGGGGAGUGAAAAAGAACCUGAAACCGUGUACGUACAAGCAGUGGGAGCACCUUCGGGUGUGACUGCGUACCUUUUGUAUAAUGGGUCAGCGACUUAUAUUCUGUAGCAAGGUUAACCGUAUAGGGGAGCCGCAGGGAAACCGAGUCUUAACUGGGCGUUAAGUUGCAGGGUAUAGACCCGAAACCCGGUGAUCUAGCCAUGGGCAGGUUGAAGGUUGGGUAACACUAACUGGAGGACCGAACCGACUAAUGUUGAAAAAUUAGCGGAUGACUUGUGGCUGGGGGUGAAAGGCCAAUCAAACCGGGAGAUAGCUGGUUCUCCCCGAAAGCUAUUUAGGUAGCGCCUCGUGAAUUCAUCUUCGGGGGUAGAGCACUGUUUCGGCUAGGGGGUCAUCCCGACUUACCAACCCGAUGCAAACUACGAAUACCGAAGAAUGUUAUCACGGGAGACACACGGCGGGUGCUAACGUCCGUCGUGAAGAGGGAAACAACCCAGACCGCCAGCUAAGGUCCCAAAGUCAUGGUUAAGUGGGAAACGAUGUGGGAAGGCACAGACAGCCAGGAUGUUGGCUUAGAAGCAGCCAUCAUUUAAAGAAAGCGUAAUAGCUCACUGGUCGAGUCGGCCUGCGCGGAAGAUGUAACGGGGCUAAACCAUGCACCGAAGCUGCGGCAGCGACACUAUGUGUUGUUGGGUAGGGGAGCGUUCUGUAAGCCUGCGAAGGUGUGCUGUGAGGCAUGCUGGAGGUAUCAGAAGUGCGAAUGCUGACAUAAGUAACGAUAAAGCGGGUGAAAAGCCCGCUCGCCGGAAGACCAAGGGUUCCUGUCCAACGUUAAUCGGGGCAGGGUGAGUCGACCCCUAAGGCGAGGCCGAAAGGCGUAGUCGAUGGGAAACAGGUUAAUAUUCCUGUACUUGGUGUUACUGCGAAGGGGGGACGGAGAAGGCUAUGUUAGCCGGGCGACGGUUGUCCCGGUUUAAGCAUGUAGGCUGGUUGUCCAGGCAAAUCCGGAUAAUCAAGGCUGAGGUGUGAUGACGAGGCACUACGGUGCUGAAGUAACAAAUGCCCUGCUUCCAGGAAAAGCCUCUAAGCAUCAGGUAACAUUAAAUCGUACCCCAAACCGACACAGGUGGUCAGGUAGAGAAUACCAAGGCGCUUGAGAGAACUCGGGUGAAGGAACUAGGCAAAAUGGUGCCGUAACUUCGGGAGAAGGCACGCUGGUGUGUAGGUGAAGUCCCUGCGGAUGGAGCUGAGACCAGUCGAAGAUACCAGCUGGCUGCAACUGUUUAUUAAAAACACAGCACUGUGCAAACACGAAAGUGGACGUAUACGGUGUGACGCCUGCCCGGUGCCGGAAGGUUAAUUGAUGGGGUUAUCCGUAAGGAGAAGCUCUUGAUCGAAGCCCCGGUAAACGGCGGCCGUAACUAUAACGGUCCUAAGGUAGCGAAAUUCCUUGUCGGGUAAGUUCCGACCUGCACGAAUGGCGUAAUGAUGGCCAGGCUGUCUCCACCCGAGACUCAGUGAAAUUGAACUCGCUGUGAAGAUGCAGUGUACCCGCGGCAAGACGGAAAGACCCCGUGAACCUUUACUAUAGCUUGACACUGAACAUUGAGCCUUGAUGUGUAGGAUAGGUGGGAGGCUUUGAAGCGUGGACGCCAGUCUGCGUGGAGCCAACCUUGAAAUACCACCCUUUAAUGUUUGAUGUUCUAACGUUGGCCCCUGACCGGGGUUGCGGACAGUGUCUGGUGGGUAGUUUGACUGGGGCGGUCUCCUCCCAAAGCGUAACGGAGGAGCACGAAGGUUAGCUAAUCCUGGUCGGACAUCAGGAGGUUAGUGCAAUGGCAUAAGCUAGCUUGACUGCGAGCGUGACGGCGCGAGCAGGUGCGAAAGCAGGUCAUAGUGAUCCGGUGGUUCUGAAUGGAAGGGCCAUCGCUCAACGGAUAAAAGGUACUCCGGGGAUAACAGGCUGAUACCGCCCAAGAGUUCAUAUCGACGGCGGUGUUUGGCACCUCGAUGUCGGCUCAUCACAUCCUGGGGCUGAAGUAGGUCCCAAGGGUAUGGCUGUUCGCCAUUUAAAGUGGUACGCGAGCUGGGUUUAGAACGUCGUGAGACAGUUCGGUCCCUAUCUGCCGUGGGCGCUGGAGAAUUGAGGGGGGCUGCUCCUAGUACGAGAGGACCGGAGUGGACGCAUCACUGGUGUUCGGGUUGUCAUGCCAAUGGCACUGCCCGGUAGCUAAAUGCGGAAGAGAUAAGUGCUGAAAGCAUCUAAGCACGAAACUUGCCCCGAGAUGAGUUCUCCCUGAGACUUUAAGUCUCCUGAAGGAACGUUAAAGACGAUGACGUUGAUAGGCCGGGUGUGUAAGCGCAGCGAUGCGUUGAGCUAACCGGUACUAAUGAACCGUGAGGCUUAACCUU
rnacentral:rRNA from 1 species